AGCGUCAAUCUUCUCCGUUUCUUUCUGGUCAGCAUCGACGAGCGAAUCUGGGGGAAAGUUUCGAUGGCGUCCAUUUAUCCAUCGCCUUCUACAGCCAUCAAAUUUGCGGAGGGACCGUUGAGAUUGGGUGUAUUAAAAGAGGGCCAAUUCGACUAAUCGAAGGACGAAGCGAUCACUUUGUUUUCUCCUCACCAAAUUCAUCACGAAUCAGACAUUAACCUAUCACCAAGAACAAAAUCCGUCUCUGAACCUGGUUUCCGGUCGGUGUUCACAGACACGGUGAGCUCCAGCUUCGAUGCGGCACUGAACUGAUUUCGGCAGCAGCAGAAUUUUUCCUUGGCUGGUACUAAAUUGUUUCGUUGGAGCGGUGCGAAAUACUCCUGAGCAAAGUCAAUUUCAAUUUGGCGUAAUUGGUGGCAGAUUUCAUCUCAGUUCGCAGAUCGUAGUUCAUACUUCGUACUUCGUAUUUAGGUUGGCCAUUUCAAUUUGUUUAGUUUUUUUUUCAAUAUAUUCUCCUACGUGGCAGCUCAAUUAAUUAGGGAAUACCAGUUAGAAGGAUGAAGCUUUAUGAAUUCAUUGUUGCCAACUUAUUUAUGCAUAGCUAAUUUAUUUUCUUCUAGGAAUAUGAACAGUAUACCAUGAAAGUUUUACAGUAAUUUAGGCUUUUAAUGUUGCCAAUUCAGUUAUGUUUUCUCUUACGCUUUAUAUUGUGAUUAAUUGUGUUGAACCUGAUCAAUUCUAGCAUAAUUAGUCUAUUUGAGGGGAAUUAUAGUGUACAUACCAUGCCUAUUAAUUCCAAGCUCUGUAGGAUAAAAAUAUAAAUAAUUUGGUUGUCUUACUAAAUUGUUUAUUUUGGUUCAUAACCCGGGUAUUCCGUAAGUUCUUCAAGCUUAAUGAGUUUUAAUCGUUCUUAAUCAUAUGAAUGAUUAAAGCACGUGACUUGUUCUGGACGUCAUACGGAAUAGUCAUAUUACAGUAAGAACGAACCCUUAAUUGAUUGGCAAUGUUAGGCUUGAAAUGCAUGAUUAGUAAUGGUUUCUGAUUCAUGUUCCUAGAUUUCUCCAAUUUGAUUGUUUAUUUUAUAUUCUGAUUCUUGGUAAUUUAUCUAUUCACUUUCCCUAGGUGUUGAUUCAAUUGUCUUGUGUUUAAUUUAAUAUUGGUUUUUGGUCCUAGUACUUAAUUUAAUUAGUUUGAUUUUUAAGUUUUUAAAUUGCAUCGUUAUAAUUCCCUGUGGGUUCGAUCCUUGCUUUUGCACACUAUUGCUACAACUGAUUCGUGCACUUGCGAGGACAUUAUUAAAAUUGUCCAUCAAGAGUUCGUCCGAAGUGAAGCCCAAGUCUUCGCAUUUGUUUAGGUCGAACCUCAAGCUUUAGAGGUCAUCCGAAGCGAAGGUGUCUUUGCGUUUGUUGAGGUUGGACCUCAAGCCUUAGAGUUCAUUCUAAGGAGUUCAAGUUAAAGAGUUCACCUCAAGGUGCUCAAUUUAUGGACUCCGAGUUAAAGGGCUCAUCGUGGAGAGCUCAAGCUGAAGAUCUCAUCUAAGUAGCUCAACACAAGGAACUCAAGUCGAAAGGCUCAUCCUAAUGAGCUCAGGUUAAAAAGGCUCAUCACGAGGAGCCCGAGUUGGAGAGCUCAUCAAGGGGCUCAGGAUGAAGAGGUUAAGAUAGGGAGCCCAAAGGGAGGAGCUCAGGGUGAAGAGUUCAACACAAGGAGCUCAGGGUGGAGAGCUCAAGUUGGGGAACCCAAGGUGAGGAGGUCAAGAUGGGGAACCCAAUGUGAGGAGCUCAAAGUGAAGAGCUUAAUUUGAGGAACUCAAGCUGAGGAACGGAACUCAUGCUAUCAAGAUUGGCUAAGUUAAAGUUUGGAACUAAGUGCUUGAGCCCGAACAAUGUUAGGAGCCAAGACCUUUGAGGUCAACCAGAACAAAGUGGAAAGCUCAAGCUCAAGCUCUUGGAGCCCGAUUGUGACAAGGUAUGGAAUGCUCGUAUGGAGCACCCCAAAGGCGGACAAAGUUAAUGGCAUGACCAUGUCGGUGCUUAGCAAGGUAUGCUUUAUUUGCAUAAUGCAAAUGCUAAGGAGCAAACAAGCGGCGCGUAGAAGGGGAUAACAUUGUGCUAAUCAAGGUUGGAGCAUGAGUACUUUCUUUCGCUGACGACAUCUCGCAGCUCAGAGAGUGCGGGACUGAUGAUGGAUAAAUCGUAAAUGGACCAAUGGCAGAUCAACCCGGAUGGAAUCGAAUUCAAGCAUCGGAGAUGACCCGAAAACCGAACCCGGCCAACCCUGGGCUUGGCUGAGACUAACCUCGGUCGAGCCCAUUCGGCCUAAGCUUGGUCGUGUCUUGGCUGACCCCUCAGCCGGGUCAUCUCGACCGAGUCCCGUACUCGGCCGAGGCUUGGGACAUCGGGUUGACGUGGUCUUUUUAGCGUCAAGCACGGUCCAAGGUCGUUGCAACCACCCACCUCCUUUCGGGGUGUGGUUAGGGCCAAAAGAAGGACUUGGCUGCUGGUUGCGAGCUAAGCACGCUAGGCCCACAUUUUUGCGGGUCUACUUUUCUAUAACCCUAAACUGUCCCAGUGCGAGAUGGAUGCGGAUCAGCAUGCCGGCUUCGACACACUUUAACAGUACUACCCAUACCCAUAUCCUCAUCAAUAACAAAUUUCAUAUUUUCUCUAAAA